rnacentral:piRNA from 1 species
UUUGUAGUUGUAUCACUAUAU